GGAGGGAACGAAGGAUGGAUUGAAAGAGGGAGGUGGAGAAGAGGUACCUAAUCAGCAAGCUUCCUCCCUCCUGACCACACAGUAGUCCCUGUAAAGACAUCCAAAGGCUUGGCUCUGGAUCCAGCUUCUGUGUGACUCCUGAAGACAGGAGUGAGGCACCAGCUUGACAGAGGUCAAGUACCUAGGAACAGCAGCAGCAAGCAGGAGGCAGAGCCUUCUGAGAUUGUUCUGUAUGACAAGCCACAUUUAAAUUCGAGAAGUCUUUAUAAACAGAAAGAUGGAGAUGGAGAUGGAGAGAAGGGGAGGUGGAGGUGGAGAGGGCUUAGCGACUGAUGGCGCUUUGUAAUCUUCCUGAGAGCAAGCCAGCAGCCUCCUGGUAUGCCAAGCGGGAGGCCUGGCUGCACAGCUCUGUUUCCCCCUUGCUUUUGGCAGAUUCUUCGGCUGCCGUAGAUUGAAGAAAAUAGGAAUAAGCAUCUUUCGACCACAAACAGAUGUGCUUGAUAAAGAAAAUGUCAGCAAAAAUACUGAAGCAAUGUGUCACAGCGGCUUUCUGACAGAUAGCAGGAAAAGAUUUGUUCACAUUCUGCUACCUGUGAGCUGGUGUUGCCAUGUCCGGAUGACUUAAGAACCCAUAUUCCUCAGCCUUCUAACAUGGGCUGAUGACAAGUAGCUAGCUCCACAGGACACCUCCAGACUUUCAGUAGAAAACUGGGGCUGGUGAAACACUCAGCCUUGUGGCCUGAGAAGCUAUGAGGUUCUCAGCUUCUGAAUUCAGUGUGAGGCAGCCAUUAUUGAUUACCUGGACUAUCAUAGCCAACAAGUUUCUCCAGGAACAGCAUAGUCAGACUUGAAACUUCUGAAGAUCUCACCAAGACUCCAGAGACAGGUCAGUUGGCUGAAUGCUUGCCAUGCCAUGAAUUCAAUCUCUAAUGCCCAUGCAGGCCAGCAGUUGACUUUACUUAGACACCAGCUUCUAAAACAGUGUACAGAGCGCUCUCUCUCUCUCUCUCUCUCUCUCCCUCUCUCUCUCUC